AAAACAAGAAAGAAAGAAAAUUGCUAGUAGAAUACCCAGAAUAAUUAAACCUUUGCCGUUGCAAAUGCAGUUUAAUAACAAUUAUUGUAAAUCACAGCAUCAACGGAAUUAUUCAGGUCGUGAACGAAAUAAAUUUACACGUAGUUAUAUUCCUUGUCGUAGAAAGCCUAUUAAACGUACUGGUAUAACUGGUAACUCUGUACCAGAAACAUCCAAUUUAUUCUUAUCAGAAUCUCCAAAUGUUCAAAGAAUUGAACUAUCGAGUAUAAGUCCAGAUUUUAACCAUAAAGAUCAAUGUCCUGCAACUUCUGUAGCAUCAACCAGACCCAUACCGAAAUUAGCAGAGAUUUACAGACUUAACGAUUUAUUAACAGGUGAAUAGUAUUUAUAAGACUGGUUUAUGGAAAUAAACGCUCCAGUCAAUUCUCUGGAGUCAAAUCCAGAGGACUUACAGAAUCGUUCUAAUGAUUGUCAAGACACUGCGCAAAGUGCAGUUGAUGUUGAGCUUUCAAAGUUUUCCCGGUGUAAUUCGAAAAACUCUAUUGCAAUAUCCAGCAGUGUCAAAUUUAUAGAAAACAUUAUUAAAACUACUGAUGAAAAUGUUAGUGAAUGCCUCUCGAGUGAAUUGAUUAAAUCAAAUAAAGACAACG